AAUAAGCUGUUGAAUCCCAUGCUUCUGCAGGUGAGCUGUGAACUGGUUGCUUGUAAAUUCACCACCACCAUCACAUUGAAAGGACCCCAAAGAUCACAAUGAAUUCUCUCCAGGGGUCUAGAAGCUACAAAAGUUGAAGGGGAAAAAGAAAGAUGCUGAAGAGCUUGCAAAUGAGGAUGCCCCAGUCUCUUAUGCCAUACUUCUUCACUCGCUUCUUGCUGUCUGAACGAGAAAUAGACUU